GGCCUACCAUGGUGGUAACGGGUAACGGGGUGUUAGGGCACGACACCGGAGAGGGAGCCUGAGAAACGGCUACCACAUCCAAGGAUGGCAGCAGGCGCGCAAAUUACCCAAUCCCGACACGGGGAGGUAGUGACAAUAAAUAACAAUACGGGGUUCUUUCGGAUCUCGUAAUUGGAAUGAGUACAAUUUAAAUCUCUUAACGAGGAACAAUUGGAGGGCAAGUCUGGUGCCAGCAGCCGCGGUAAUUCCACCUCCAAUAGCGUAUAUUAAAGUUGUUGCAGUUAAAAAGCUCGUAGUUGAAUUUCGGGGUCAGCAGGUUGGUCGUGCCAACGGUAUGCACUGGCCUCGCUGAUUCCUCCCUCUUGUAGAACCGUAAUGCCAUUAAGUUGGUGUUGCGGGGAAACAGGACUGUUACUUUGAAAAAAUUAGAGUGUUUAAAGCAGGCUAACGCUUGAAUACAUUAGCAUGGAAUAAUGAAAUAGGACGAUCGAUCCUAUUUUGUUGGUUUCUAGGAUUGACGUAAUGAUUAAUAGGGAUAGUUGGGGGCAUUAGUAUUCAAUUGUCAGAGGUGAAAUUCUUGGAUUUAUUGAAGACUAACUACUGCGAAAGCAUUUGCCAAGGAUGUUUUCAUUAAUCAAGAACGAAAGUUAGGGGAUCGAAGACGAUCAGAUACCGUCGUAGUCUUAACCAUAAACUAUGCCGACUAGGGAUCGGAUGAUGUUAAUUUUUUAAUGACUCAUUCGGCGCCUUACGGGAAACCAAAGUGUUUGGGUUC
rnacentral:rRNA from 1 species